UACGAAGGGGGCUAGCGUUGUUCGGAUUUACUGGGCGUAAAGCGCACGUAGGCGGAUCUUUAAGUCAGAGGUGAAAUCCCAAGGCUCAACCUUGGAACUGCCUUUGAUACUGGGGAUCUUGAGUCCGGGAGAGGUGAGUGGAACUGCGAGUGUAGAGGUGAAAUUCGUAGAUAUUCGCAAGAACACCAGUGGUGAAGGCGGCUCACUGGCCCGGUACUGACGCUGAGGUGCGAAAGCGUGGGGAGCAAACAGG
rnacentral:rRNA from 1 species